rnacentral:lncRNA from 1 species
GUUGGUUAUGAAAGUCUAGUUUGAUGCUGAGAGAUCACAGCCAGAUGUUACAUUCCAGUAAUCAAAAAUGAGUUAUUGCAGGAACAUAUAAAAAGAGUUAAUGGCCUGUGGUAUGUUUCUUCUGCUACUAAGACCAAUUUUAAAAUCAGUGAAGUUAUUACCAUUUACACCAGCUAGAGCAGUCAGCACAGACAUCUGGAGGUCAAGUAUUUUUAGUGGUCUGACUUGGAUUAGAGUCUGACCCCCAUGCACAUGAAUCAUCACAAGGAUUAAUGAAGUGUAUAAAGUGUGUGUGCUUGUUAAUCUCAUCUAUGGACACGACAAAGGAAGAAAUUCUUCACAUUGAGAGAGUAAAUGGUUUAGCAAAGAGAAGAAACAAAGCCUAGCCUUAAGCUGAUGAGAAGCCUACAGAUUAAUGGAAGAGUGUCUUUUAUUAUCCUAACUGCAGCAACUGUGUUCCAAGAAGCUAUCCACUCAUCUUCCCUAAAGAUUGUCUUGCCUGUACUUGCAGAGGAGGAUUUUACAUUUUCAGAGUCAGCUCUAAGACCAUCUUUAUGGAGAGAUUUGAAAUCCUUUAUGGAGAGAUUUGAAAUCCUUCAUGGAUGGCAUGAAUAAAAGGCUUGUCUUCAGAUGCUGCUUCCUUGGGGUGUCAUAGUGUUUGUCAGAGGAUGAGUCAAGGGGAUCAGAGAGCAAGUGAGGAAGCACAUCAUGACCUACAAGAGCCUGAGUUGGUCUCUA